CUUCAGAGGACGUAAGAGGUUCGUUCAUUCAUCUCAGAGCAACAACAAUGGGAAUACCUUCGUUUUACAGAUGGUUAGUGGAGAAGUUCCCUCGCACUGUAAUCGAUGCCCCAAUCAAUGGCUUGGACUUCGACAAUCUCUACCUCGACAUGAAUGGCAUCAUCCACCCCUGUUUUCACCCUCAAGGACUGCCAGCUCCGAAGACCUACGAUGAGGUUUUUCAAGCGGUUUUUAAGUAUAUUGAUAAGCUUUUAUCUGUUGCUAAACCCAAAAAGCUACUCUUCCUUGCAAUUGAUGGUGUUGCUCCUCGAGCUAAGAUGAACCAACAAAGGUCGCGACGAUUCAGGACUGCUAAGGAUGCGGCUGAGGAGGCUGCUUGGAAAGUGAAGCUUAAAAAUCAGUCAAUAGAAGAUUCUUGUAAACUUGAUUCAAAUGUCAUCACACCUGGGUCUGAAUUCAUGGCAUUGUUGUCUUCAGCCCUUCGCUAUUACAUUUACUUGAGAAUGAAUGAGGAUCCAAACUGGCAGGGAAUCAAGGUCAUACUUUCGGAUGCCAGUGUACCGGGCGAGGGGGAGCAUAAGAUAAUGUCUUACAUUCGUUUGCAAAGAAACCUGCCUGGAUUUGAUCCAAAUACAAGGCAUUGUCUAUAUGGAUUGGAUGCAGAUCUUAUCAUGCUUGCUCUAGCAUCCCAUGAGGUCCAUUUUUCUAUCUUGAGAGAGGAUGUCAUGAAGGAUAAAUUUGUAAAAUCCAAGUACAUGAAUAAGAGAAACGGUACGGGCUUGUUGAAAGGGAAUCUAGAUAGCUAUAUCUCAAACCAGAAAUUUCAGUUUCUUCACAUUUGGAUCCUCAGGGAGUAUUUAGCAUAUCUUAUGGAAAUCCCAGAUGUUAAAGGAGAUUUGGAGCGCCAAAUUGAUGAUUUCGUUUUGAUGUGUUUGUUUGUGGGAAAUGACUUUCUACCUCACAUUCCGUCGUUGGAAAUAUCUGAGGGGGCUAUUGAAUUACUUCUGACAAUCUAUAAAAUGGAAUUUGUAACAAUGGGUGGUUACCUGACAAAUUCUUUUGAGGUAAAUUUGGAAAGGAUGAAGCAUUUUUUAGGAGUGGUGGGAUCUUAUGAAGGAUUAAUCUUGCAAAAACGUGUCCAGGUAGAAAAUGAAUGGGCUAUCCGUGAUCAACGUUAUUCACAGAAUAAAACUGUUACAGAGACAUCUUUGGGUUCAAAGUCAGUAAAUUCAAGUGCUAUGAUGAAGCAAGCACCAGACAAUACAACAUCAGUUAGCACAUCUACUGAAGUUAAAAAGAUUAAUUUUGGGGAAAAUGAUUGGAAGGAAAACUACUACUUGGAAAAGUUCAAGGUUGAAACUGAAAAUGAUCGUCUGAAUGUUCGGAACGAUUUGGUGUUGAAAUAUACGGAAGGGAUUUGCUGGGUCAUGCAUUAUUAUUACGAAGGAGUCUGUUCCUGGCAAUGGUACUAUCCCUAUCACUAUGCUCCAUGUGCUUCAGAUUUUGUUGGUAUUGAUGAGUUAAAGAUUCAAUUCACACUUGGGGUACCCUUUAAACCAUUUGAUCAGUUGAUGGCCGUACUUCCUGCUGCAAGUGCACAUGCUCUUCCGGUGUCUUAUAGGAAGCUUAUGACUGAUGCAUCAUCACCUUUGUUGGCUUUUUAUCCAACAGAUGUUGAGCUGGAUAUGAAUGGGAAACGGUUUUCUUGGCAAGCCAUCUACAAGCUUCCAUUUAUCGAGGAAACCAUCCUUCUCUCAGAAAUUGCCAGAGUAGAAAAUGAAUUGACGGAAGAGGAGCGUCAAAGGAACAAAUUGGGUAUGGAUGUGUUGUUUGUUCAUGUGACUUAUCCUUUAGCAAUGAAUAUACUUUCUUUCUAUAGAAGUAAUGUUGAUCAUUUGAGCUUGAUCGAUACUCAAAUCAAACAGGAAAUUGUUCCAGAAUCCAGUGAUGGGAUGAAUGGUUACAUUUUUGUUUCUAAUAUACCAGUGCAGCCUGAGCAAAUAUAUUCACCAAUUGAUGGCAUGGAUAUGAUCGCUGACAAUAAAGUCUUGUCCGUGUUCUACAAUUCUCCUGCCUUCCAUGCUCACAUUCCUAGAGCACCAAAUGGAGUUCAUUAUCCGAAAAAGUCUAUCUUCAGGAGGCAUGUUAAACCCACACCAUUUCUUUGGCAUGAGAAGUCUUCUGUUGUUGGACGAUUGCAUUCUCUAAGGCCUAUUCACAUGUCUAUCUCUGGCUCUCGUCUUUCAAACUCAGCUCGUCUACUUGUGACGAAGUGGUAUCUUGAAAUUGAGAAGCAACGAAAGAGCAAGGGAGAUGUAGAGCUUCAUGGAGCUAAAACUACUGAUGGGAGUCAUGCUGCUGCUGAGGGCAAAAGCAUCAAUGGUAAAACUAUUGAUGGGAGUCAUGCUGCUGCUGAGGGCGAAAGCAUCAAUGGUAAAACUAUGAAACGUAUAGCUAGGGCCCGCAGACAAAAGGCGAAACGGGCCCGCAGACAAAAGGAGAAACGAAUGGCUGAACUCGGGGAUAUGCAUGUGGGUGAAAAGGGGCCUGCAUCCAUUCCAAUGACACAAGAAGCAGUAUCUGUAGAUGCAGGCCUUGUUGAAAGUGCAAUUGUCGAUGUGAGUCAUGCUGCUGCUGAGGGCGAAAGCAUUAAUGGUAAAACUAUUGAUGGGAGUCAUGCUGCUGCUGAGGGCGAAAGCAUCAAUGGUAAAACUAUGAAACGUAAAAAGAUAAAUACUAUAGCUAGGGCCCGCAGACAAAAGGAGAAACGGGCCCGCAGACAAAAGGAGAAACGAAUGGCUGAACUUGGGGAUAUGCAUGUGGGUGAAAAGGGGCCUGCAUCCAUUCCAAUGACACAAGAAGCAGUAUCUGUAGAUGCAGGCCUUGUUGAAAGUGCAAUUGUCGAUGUGAACAUUGGUAAAAGUGGACGUGAACAGAAUGAUAUUAUCCACGUUGGCAAAAAGGAACCUGCAUCCACUCCAAAGACACAAGAAGCAGUGUUUAUAGAUGCAAGUUGUGGUGAAAGUGCAACUGUAGAUGCAAAAUGUAAAAGUGAUAUCAUCCACGUGGGCGAGAAAGAGGCUGCAUCCACUCCUAAGACACAAGAAGAAGCAUUAUCUAUAGAAGCAAGCCUUGGUGAAACUGCAACUGUAGAUGCCGGUGUUGACAGCAAAGGCAUCAAUUGUAAAACAAGGAAACGAAGAAGAAAACAUGAAAGUGGACGUGAACAAAGCGAUAUUAUCCAUGCUGGCGAAAAGGAGCCUGCAUCCACUCCAAAGACAGAAACAGCAGUGUUUAUAGAUGCGGGGUGUGGUGAAAGUGCAACUGUAGAUGGAAAACGUGAAAGUGAUAUUAUCCAUUUGGGCGAAAAAGAGGCUGCUUCAACUCCUAAGACACAAGAAGUAUUAUCUAUAGAUGCAGGCCUUGGUGAAAGUGCUGGUGUUGACAGCAAAGGCAUCGAUAAUAGUAAAACUAGGAAACGCAGACGAAAGAGUAAAAGUGGACGUGAACAAAGCGAUAUUAUCUAUGCUGGCGCAAAGGAGCCUGCAUCCACUCCAAAGACAGAACCAGCAGUGUUUAUAGAUGCAGGGUGUGGUGAAAAUGCAACUGUAGAUGGAAAAUGUAAAAGUGAUAUUAUCCAUUUGGGCGAAAAAGAGGCUGCUUCAACUCCUAAGACACAAGAAGAAACAUUGUCUAUCGAUGCAGGCCUUGGUGAAAGUGCUGGUGCUGAGAGCAAAGGCAUCGAUAAUAGUAAAACUAAGAAACGCAGACGAAAGAGUAAAAGUGGACGUGGACAAAGCGAUAUUAUCCAUGUCGGCGAAAAGGAGCCUGCAUCCACACCAAAGACAGAAGAAGCAGUGUUUAUAGAUGCAGGGUGUGGUGAAAGUGCAACUGUAGAUGGCCAAUGUAAAAGUGAUAUUAUCCAUUUGGGCGAAAAAGAGGCUGCUUCAACUCCCAAGACACAAGAAGAAACAUUAUCUAUCGAUGCAGGCCUUGGUGAAAGUGCUGGUGCUGAGAUCAAAGGCAUCAAUAAUGGUAAAACUAGGAAACGAAGACGAAAGAGUAAAAGUGGACGUGAACAAAGUGAUACUAUCCAUGUCGGCGAAAAGGAGCCUGCGUCCACUCCAAAGACAGAAACAGCAGUGUUUAUAGAUGCAGGGUGUGGUGAAAGUGCAACUGUAGAUGGAAAACUUGAAAGUGAUAUUAUCCAUUUGGGCGAGAAAGAGGCUGCUUCCACUCCUAAGACACGAGAAGAAACAUUAUCUAUCAAUGCAGGCCUUGGUGAAAUUGCUGGUGCUGAGAGCAAAGGCAUCGAUAAUGGUAAAACUAGGAAACGCAGACGAAAGAGUAAAAGUGGACGUGAACAAAGUGAUAUUAUCCAUGUCGGCGAAAAGGAGUCUGCAUCCAGUCCAAAGACAGAAACAGCAGUAUCUAUAGAUGCAGGGCUUGAAAAGGAGCGCCUGCAUCCAAUCCGAAUAUUGGAGAACCAGCAAUGAUUUCGAACACAGGAGAAAGAACAACAUCUGGAGGUGACAAUAGGUGAAGAUGGAUUGACAAGCCUUCCAAAUCCCAACAAAAUUGCAGGCGAUGACAACAAGUGCCUUAGUAUUAUUCCGGAACAGAAACCAAAGAAAAGAAGAAGAAAAAAGGCAAAGGUAACUGGUAAUUGAGUGUCUCCUCUUGGCUUGGUGAGUCGAAGUCAGCUUCGAUUUGGCUUUGAGUCCAGCAAUGGUCAGCGUGGAUGGAAUGGGAAUGUCUACGACGUUUGAGAGUGAUGAGUUCUGAAGCCUGUAGCUCAGAUUGGGGUCUCGCCGGAGCAUGUUAGGGCAUCAGCUCUGCCCACGGACCACCACGAUUUGGAACUCUUCUUGAAUUGUCUCAGCCACCACUUUCUUCUCCUCUCUAUCUCUCUCUCCAAAUGUUUUUUUUAUCGGGUUUCAUAAAAAUAGAAUCUUUGGCUUUUGGGUCUAAUGAAUUUAUGAAAUUGAGACAGAAGAAGAAGAAGAUGAUAGGUGUUUUGCUCUUA